rnacentral:rRNA from 1 species
UACGUAGGGACCAAGCGUUGUUCGGAUUUACUGGGCGUAAAGGGCGCGUAGGCGGCAAAUUAAGUCAUCUGUAAAAUCUCCGAGCUUAAUUCGGAACGGUCAGGUGAUACUGAUCUGCUAGAGUGCGGAAGGGGCAAUCGGAAUUCUUGGUGUAGCGGUGAAAUGCGUAGAUAUCAGGAGGAACACCAAUUGCGAAGGCAGCUCGCUGGGACGUGACUGACGCUGAGACGCGAAAGCGUGGGGAGCAAACAGG